AAUGGGAUAGCUGGGUCAAAUGAUGGUUCCAUUCCAAGUUUUCAACGAAUCUUCAUAUUGCUUUCCAGAUUGGUUGCACCAAUUUGCAGUCCCAUCAGCAAU
rnacentral:pre_miRNA from 1 species